rnacentral:rRNA from 1 species
AUCCUCCAAGGCUAAAUACUCCUGAUUGACCGAUAGUGAACCAGUACUGUGAAGGAAAGGCGAAAAGAACCCCGGUGAGGGGAGUGAAAUAGAACCUGAAACCUUGUACGUACAAGCAGUGGGGGCCUGAAAGGGUGACUGCGUACCUUUUGUAUAAUGGGUCAGCGACUUAUAUUUUGUAGCGAGGUUAACCGAAUAGGGGAGCCGAAGGGAAACCGAGUCUUAACUGGGCGUCUAGUUGCAAGGUAUAG